rnacentral:rRNA from 1 species
UACAGAGGUCUCAAGCGUUGUUCGGAUUCAUUGGGCGUAAAGGGUGCGUAGGCGGCGCGGUAAGCGUGCGGUGAAAGCCCGGGGCUCAACCCCGGGUCGGCCGUGCGGACUGCCGGGCUGGAGCACUGUAGAGGCAGGUGGAAUUCCGGGUGUAGCGGUGGAAUGCGUAGAGAUCCGGAAGAACACCGGUGGCGAAGGCGGCCUGCUGGGCAGUAGCUGACGCUGAAGCGCGACAGCGUGGGGAGCAAACAGG